AUUGAACGCUGGCGGCAGGCCUAACACAUGCAAGUCGAGCGGAGGAAGGGAGCUUGCUCCUGGAUUCAGCGGCGGACGGGUGAGUAAUGCCUAGGAAUCUGCCUGGUAGUGGGGGAUAACGUCCGGAAACGGGCGCUAAUACCGCAUACGUCCUGAGGGAGAAAGUGGGGGAUCUUCGGACCUCACGCUAUCAGAUGAGCCUAGGUCGGAUUAGCUAGUUGGUGGGGUAAAGGCCUACCAAGGCGACGAUCCGUAACUGGUCUGAGAGGAUGAUCAGUCAAACGGGAACUGGGACACGGUCCAGACUCCUACGGGAGGCAGCAGUGGGGAAUAUUGGACAAUGGGCGAAAGCCGGCUCCAGCCAUGCCGCGUGUGUGAAGAAGGUCUUCGGAUGGUAAAGCACUUUAAGUUGGGAGGAAGGGCAGUAAGUUAAUACCUUGCUGUUUUGACGUUACCAACAGAAUAAGCACCGGCUAACUUCGUG
rnacentral:rRNA from 1 species